UGAGCCUCAUUUGGAACUCAAUUGGGAGGUUACUGUUUGGCAAUGUCCAAUGUUAGGAAAGAACAGUGUUUCACAUCCCACACAUCAGUCAUAUCCUUAAGUGUAUUUCUUCCAACCCUUGAAGAGAAGACGGAGACACCAAGCUUCCAUUGAUGGCAGAUCACGAUUUUCACAUGGUUCACAUAAAACGUUUUGUUUUUCCUGUGAAUUUUUGAUGACAUUAAAACUGAUCAUGCAGACAUCACUGAAGCUCUGGUCUGUAUUUUAAAUUUGACAGACGUAACUACACCCAUCUCCAUCAGAAUAAAAUAAGAUUCUUGUAUUUAUUUUCUCUCAUAAGCUCAUGUACAUACAUGGUUGAAUGUUGUGAAAUUGCUGCCUGUCUAGCAAUUAGUUAAUCACAGACUCUUCUGAAGGUUUGUAUACACUCAACAAAUUAUGCAUCUUGGCCUUUUUUUUUAGAAGACUAAUUAAGUUGAAACUGUUUUGAUGCCUCUGGAAUUAUAAAUGUGGAAGUGUUCUGAGAUGGUGCUCUGUACAGUUAUAGGAGAUUUUGUUCAUAUGUGGAUCACAGAAUCUGUAAUUUAUCUUUACUUAACUUAAAUGGAAAGAUAUACAAAAAAACAUUUUGCACACAUUCAGACUUUGCUGUAAAUAUUAAGCAACUUCUUGUUAACAAAUGGUAUAUGGACUUUAUAAUUUUAUAUUCAUUUUCAUUUAUGUCCUAUGCACAGAAACCGAUCCCUUUUUACAUUUUUUUUUUUUUUUUUUUUUUUAAAGUAAUAUUGUCUUUUCGCUACUUCAUACUUCAGCUGCUUCCUCAGUGGCAAUUGGCUCAUUUUCUUAACAAGUCAUAAACUAGCAUGAUACACUUGAUACAAAGGACUCUUAAUCUCAUAUAGUUGACUGGUGCAAUUUGUUGUACGUAACACACUAUCAUUUUUGUAAGAGUAUUUUAUUUUUGUGUGUAUUUAGUUCUAAUUAAACUUGCCUUUGUCUUGGGUGUAAGGCACUUUUUAGCUUUCUUGUGUGUUUUGUGUUUGGUGUGUGCAGGAACAGGAAUUUAUGUUCCUUUAAUCAUCCAUAUCUAGAUUUAGAGAAAGGUAUGUAUGAUGUCCAUACCUUUCUAUUGCUUUUACUUUUCUGAUGAGGCAUAUUUGACUGAUUCUUAAGAUCAGUUCUGAACAUGACAGGUGAU
ensembl:lncRNA